AAAAUAGUGCGGAGAUAGCUAAGAGAUCGUAGCAAUAGCGUAGAUGAAUGGCUGAACAAAGCAUUGGAAUCUUAAAAAGACGGUGGACAAUUUUAGGAUAUGGCAAGAGAGGAAGGAAUUACUCCACAAAAGUGGAAGAUUUGCUAACGUUUGUGAGGCAUUACAUAACAUUUGCAUAAAAUAUGCAAUAAGUUAAGACCCUUAAAAAAGCGAUUCUUAACACACACAAGAAAUGAACACCGGGGUAGCGAACCUCUUCACCGCAAUCGACCAAACGAUAAGAGAUCAAAUAAAGUAUUCUUUAAUAAAUUUAAUUCAAAAA